CAGGAGGUGGAGCAGUGUCGUGGCCGUCACUGCGGCCUGCCAGGGGGCCUAGGCCUGUCGGCCGAAGUUCGACUGGAGUGUCUGGCGGGGAGAGGUGGCUAGCCACCCGUCUGAGAGGAGCUCAGAGUCCGGCUCCCGUAGGAGUCCGGAUGGGGUCUACUUGCAGUCGGAGUUGGGGACGAGGCCUGGUUCCCGUAGGAGUCCGG
rnacentral:lncRNA from 1 species